rnacentral:rRNA from 1 species
UGCCAGCCGCCGCGGUAAUACAGAGGUGGCGAACGUUGUUCGGAUUUACUGGGCGUAAAGGGUGCGCAGGCGGAUUUGUCAGUCAGGGGUGAAAUCCUACAGCUUAACUGUAGAACUGCCUUUGAUACUGCAAAUCUUGAGUUCGGAAAGGAGAGGCGGAAUUCCAGGUGUAGUGGUGAAAUACGUAGAUAUCUGGAAGAACACCAGAGGCGAAGGCGGUCUCUUGGUCCGAAACUGACGCUGAGGCGCGUAAGCGUGGGGAGCAAACAGGAUUAGAUA